AUUAUACCGUGAAACUGCGAAUGACUCAUUAAAUCAGUUAUCGUUUAUUUGAUAAUACCUUACUACUUGGAUAACCGUGGUAAUUCUAGAGCUAAUACAUGCUGACAAUCCCGACUUCGGAAUUGAUGUGUUUAUUAGAUAAAAAACCAAUGCCCUUCGGGGCUCUUUGGUGAUUCAUGAUAACUUUACGGAUCGCAUAGCCUUGCGCUGGCGACGGUUCAUUCAAAUUUCUGCCCUAUCAACUUUCGAUGGUAAGGUAUUGGCUUACCAUGGUUUCAACGGGUAACGGGGAAUUAGGGUUCGAUUCCGGAGAGGGAGCCUGAGAAACGGCUACCACAUCCAAGGAAGGCAGCAGGCGCGCAAAUUACCCAAUCCCGACACGGGGAGGUAGUGACAAUAAAUACUGAUACAGGGCUCUUUUGGGUCUUGUAAUUGGAAUGAGUACAAUUUAAACCUCUUAACGUGGAACAAUUGGAGGGCAAGUCUGGUGCCAGCAGCCGCGGUAAUUCCAGCUCCAAUAGCGUAUAUUAAAGUUGUUGGAGUUAAAAAGCUCGUAGUUGAAACUUGGGCCUGGCUGGCGGGUCCGCCUCACCGCGUGCACUCGUCCGGCCGGGCCUUCCUUCUGAAGAACCUCAUGCCCUUCACUGGGCGUGUUGGGGAAUCAGGACUUUUACUUUGAUUAAAUUAGAGUGUUCAAAGCAGGCCUUUGCUCGAAUACGUUAGCAUGGAAUAAUAAAAUAGGGCGUGCGUUUCUAUUUUGUUGGUUUCUAGAGCCGCCGCAAUGAUUAACAGGAACAGUCGGGGGCAUCAGUAUUCAGUUGUCAGAGGUGAAAUUCUUGGAUUUGCUGAAGACUAACUACUGCGAAAGCAUUUGCCAAGGAUGUUUUCAUUAAUCAGUGAACGAAAGUUAGGGGAUCGAAGACGAUCAGAUACCGUCGUAGUCUUAACCGUAAACUAUGCCGACUAGGGAUCG
rnacentral:rRNA from 1 species